UAUUAAAAAUUUCAUUCAUUUGUAUUGUUAAAAAUUGGUGUGGUUGACAGAAUAACUAGACAAGGACAUGUGACAUGCCAUGUGUACCUGAUGCCGAUGUACAUGGACCAAUUUUUAACAAUAUAAAUGAAUACAAUUUUUAACA
rfam:Gossypium arboreum cultivar AKA8401 contig_41060_3, whole genome shotgun sequence.